rnacentral:rRNA from 1 species
AGUGAACGCUGGCGGUAGGCCUAACACAUGCAAGUCGAACGGCAGCACAGUAAGAGCUUGCUCUUACGGGUGGCGAGUGGCGGACGGGUGAGGAAUACAUCGGAAUCUACUUUUUCGUGGGGGAUAACGUAGGGAAACUUACGCUAAUACCGCAUACGACCUACGUGUGAAAGCAGUGGAUCUUCGGACCUUGCGCGCUGGAAUGAGCCGAUGCCGGAUUAGCUAGUUGGCGGGGUAAAGGCCCACCAAGGCGACGAUCCGUAGCUGGUCUGAGAGGAUGAACAGCCACACUGGAACUGAGACACGGUCCAGACUCCUACGGGAGGCAGCAGUGGGGAAUAAUGGACAAUGGGCGCAAGCCAGCUCCAGCCAUACCGGGUGGGUGAAGAAGGCCUUCGGGUUGUAAAGCCCUUUUGUUGGGAAAGAAAAGAAGAAGGUUAAUACCCCGCUGUUCUGACGGUACCAAAAGAAUAAGCACCGGCUAACUUCGUG